rnacentral:rRNA from 1 species
GAAUCGUUGAACCGAACGAAGUAUCGAGCGCYUAAGUAAAAUAUACGUCGGCCGUAAAGCUCGCUCGUGUAACGGCUACUCGGUCGAUAGUGUCGGCGCUUGCUCGCAGGUGCCGAUCUAUUCGAUUCGAUUAAAAAGUUAUCGGCGACAUUUCGACGUAUAGGCGUCGGCGGUGUCAGUGUCGGCCACCCAUCCGACCCGUCUUGAAACACGGACCAAGGAGUCUAACAUAUGCGCGAGCUAAUGGGUGGAAAACCCAAAAGCGUAAUAAAAGUAAAGGCUGUUUCGGACAGCUAAGGUAUGAUCCCGGUAAUCCGAGCGAUUCCGGGCGCAAUACCGUCCCGUCCCGACCGCACGUCGGUAGGGCGGAGAUAGAGUKCMUACGUUGGGACCCGAAAGAUGGUGAACUAUGCCUGAGCAGAGCGAAGCCA